UGCAAAUCCUGAUUCUGAAGCUCCUGGACUAAUGACAAUCAUAUCCCUUGCCCUUCAAUCUCUUUUUCGACAGCCACCCUAACCCAGAAUCCUAAACAAGAGGCGUAGCCAUGAUAGGAUCUCUCUCCUAUUUCCCUUCUGAGUGUUGUCCAUUGCUUCUAGCCUAUUCCCAUCUUUCUUGUCCUGACCCAAGUCACCUUCCUGGGGAAGGGCCCCCUCCUCUGCCUGUUUCUGUACCAGCACCUACCUUUUCCCUAUCAACAGCUCGCUUUCCUGGUUCAUUCCAUUCCUUAAUAUGUAUCAACUCAAUUUAAUAAGCAAGUGUUUAUUUAGCAAUAGAACUGGGUCAGACCCUAUCGUGCCCUUGAGGAGGAAGGCAAACUAGAAGCUGUGAUUAAGUUAACAGAUAAGACAAAUAAAUAACAGGAUAUAUAAGGUGAGGAGAGACCUUAGUGACUGCCCAGCUCAGUUCCUCAUUUUAUAAGUAAUGUUUAAGAGCAAUGACCCACUCCUACUUUCAGCAAAGAGGUGCACAUAGCAUAGACCCAUAGAAGAGGAAGGAUCUGAGAAGGAGUUUGAAAAAAGUGUAGGAGAGGCUGCGAGAAAACAAGGCAGGUGUCCUGGCUGAGGGCAGGAAGGAGACAUUGCGAUGGAAAUUGUGCCCCAUUUUCUUGGAGGAUUGGGAAGAGGACCUGUGGACUGGGCGGCCCACACAACUGCUGUAACCUCAGGCAGUUUUCAAGCAGAUUGACCUUCCUGCUGGAACACGGCACAUGAGGUGAAGUUCUCCUCUACCCAGGAGAAAAUGAACAGCUGGACAAUGCUCCUGGUCAGUAGGCCUGAAGGAUGCUGGGAUGCAGCCCUCAAGAUGGAACAGCCAGGAUGCCAAGUAUCCCUCUUGCCCAGAUCCUAAGGCACUUUUUCUACUGAUCCAUAUUGGCCUCAGGAGAUGUCUCAACACAGCACCCCAGCCAAUGGAGCUGCCACAUAAGAUGAACUCUUGAUCAUCUCUAAACUAGAGAGUUAAACUCAACACUAGCAAACGACUUUGGGUUUAUGCAUAUGUCAUGUUUUCUCUGGCAACUGCACAGAAUCAUCUCUAAAUAUCACAUCUAUGGUUGGCAGGAGUGGCAUGUAUAAUACAAAAUGUCUGGUGGCCCUACUGUCACAAAACCUGUAUAAAAGUAAAUUCACAAAUGGCUUUUUAGAACUGAUGACAAAAAGUUACUCGUUAUCACUUUUCUAAUUAAUUUCCUAAAAGGGCAAUUUGAAAUCAUACUGGGAUUCUCACAAUUUUGGUUGACAGUCAAGUAAAUUGCAGCUACUUAUCAAGCACUUUUGAAUGAAUACAUGAAGAAUGAAUAAAAUGAAAGCUCUCCUGUUGCCCUCAGCA
rnacentral:lncRNA from 1 species